CGUCAAAGCGGUGGGUGAUUUAUCCACGUCUAUUGAUGAUCUGAUAUCACAGCGCUUGCUUUGACAUG
rnacentral:pre_miRNA from 1 species